rnacentral:ncRNA from 1 species
CUCUUGGAGGAGGAUUUUAUGUAUUGGUUGAGUUAUCUCUUGAACAUUUGAUAAGCUAUUUAUGAUAAGGAAGUUUUGUUGGGUUUUCUUCCCCUAGAGGGUUUCCCACGAUAAAUGUUGUGUCUCUUGUGAUGUGAAUUUCUCAGUGAUAUUGUUCUUAUUAUGCUCUUAUCUUAUGAAAUGCAAAGAACUAUAAUAAUGGCAUAAACAUUAACAGUCUCCAAGGUGAUCAACCUGUGGUCAAUAGAACAAUGUAGGUAAGGGAAGUCGGAAAAAUGGAUUCGUAACUUCGGGAAAAGGAUUAGCUUUGAGGGCUGGGCCUAGGGGUGUGCAUCCUCAACCCAUGGGUUGUCGAUAGUCUUCCCGAGAUGCUAUCACAACAAGGGAUGGUAGUCGUAUGUUGAUUGGGAUACGAACGUAUGAUGUCCCCUCGUGGGGGAUUUUCCCUAGGCAGAAAACAUUUGACUGAGAAUUGGUACGGACAAAGGGAAUCUGACUUUUUAAUUAAAACAAAGCAUUGUAAUGGUCCCUGUGGAUGCUGACAUAAUGUGAUUUAUACCCAGUGAUCUAAAUGUUAAAGUGAAGAAAUUAAACCAAGCAUAGGUAAAUGGAUAGAGACUUCAAUCCUUAGAAUCCUUCAUUUUGCAGCGAGGAUCAAGCUCAGGAAGGAUAGAGACUUGGAGAAGU